rnacentral:rRNA from 1 species
UACAGAGGGGGCAAGCGUUGUUCGGAAUUACUGGGCGUAAAGGGCGCGUAGGCGGCCUGCUAAGUCGAACGUGAAAUCCCUGGGCUCAACCCAGGAACUGCGUCCGAUACUGGUUGGCUUGAAUCCGGGAGAGGGAUGCGGAAUUCCAGGUGUAGUGGUGGAAUGCGUAGAGAUCCGGAGGAACACCAGCGGCGAAGGCGGCAUCCUGGACUGGUCCUGACACUCAGGAGCGAAAGCGUGGGGAGCGAUCCGG